rnacentral:rRNA from 1 species
GUUUGAUCCUGGCUCAGAUUGAACGCUGGCGGCAUGCCUUACACAUGCAAGUCGAACGGUAACGCGGGGCAACCUGGCGACGAGUGGCGAACGGGUGAGUAAUACAUCGGAACGUGCCCAGUAGUGGGGGAUAGCCCGGCGAAAGCCGGAUUAAUACCGCAUACGACCUACGGGUGAAAGCGGGGGAUCGCAAGACCUCGCGCUAUUGGAGCGGCCGAUGUCAGAUUAGCUAGUUGGUGGGGUAAAAGCCUACCAAGGCGACGAUCUGUAGCUGGUCUGAGAGGACGACCAGCCACACUGGGACUGAGACACGGCCCAGACUCCUACGGGAGGCAGCAGUGGGGAAUUUUGGACAAUGGGGGCAACCCUGAUCCAGCCAUGCCGCGUGCGGGAAGAAGGCCUUCGGGUUGUAAACCGCUUUUGUCAGGGAAGAAACGGUCUGCGCUAAUACCGCGGACUAAUGACGGUACCUGAAGAAUAAGCACCGGCUAACUACGUGCCAGCAGCCGCGGUAAUACGUAGGGUGCAAGCGUUAAUCGGAAUUACUGGGCGUAAAGCGUGCGCAGGCGGCUUUGCAAGACAGAUGUGAAAUCCCCGGGCUCAACCUGGGAACUGCAUUUGUGACUGCAUGGCUAGAGUGCGGCAGAGGGGGAUGGAAUUCCGCGUGUAGCAGUGAAAUGCGUAGAUAUGCGGAGGAACACCGAUGGCGAAGGCAAUCCCCUGGGCCUGCACUGACGCUCAUGCACGAAAGCGUGGGGAGCAAACAGGAUUAGAUACCCUGGUAGUCCACGCCCUAAACGAUGUCAACUGGUUGUUGGACGGCUUGCUGUUCAGUAACGAAGCUAACGCGUGAAGUUGACCGCCUGGGGAGUACGGCCGCAAGGUCGAAACUCAAAGGAAUUGACGGGGGCCCGCACAAGCGGUGGAUGAUGUGGUUUAAUUCGAUGCAACGCGAAAAACCUUACCUACCCUUGACAUGCCAGGAACUUGCCAGAGAUGGCUUGGUGCUCGAAAGAGAACCUGGACACAGGUGCUGCAUGGCCGUCGUCAGCUCGUGUCGUGAGAUGUUGGGUUAAGUCCCGCAACGAGCGCAACCCUUAUCAUUAGUUGCUACGCAAGGGCACUCUAAUGAGACUGCCGGUGACAAACCGGAGGAAGGUGGGGAUGACGUCAGGUCAUCAUGGCCCUUAUGGGUAGGGCUACACACGUCAUACA